UUUUUUUUUUUUUUUUUUUUUUUAACCAAACCAGCUUACAUCUUC
rnacentral:ribozyme from 13 species